GCCAAUCUACAGCAGACCCUCCCUCCCAGACCCUCUCACCUCCUGGACAGCUCACUAAGAAUGCAGCUUCAAAAUGGAUGCUGUCCAGGAGGUGGGAGGGUCUGGGAGGGAGGGUCUGCUGCUGGCUGUG